rnacentral:rRNA from 1 species
GAUGAACGCUGGCGGCGUGCCUAAUACAUGCAAGUCGAGCGAGCAGACGAGGAGCUUGCUCCUCUGACGUUAGCGGCGGACGGGUGAGUAACACGUGGAUAACCUACCUAUAAGACUGGGAUAACUUCGGGAAACCGGAGCUAAUACCGGAUAAUAUAUUGAACCGCAUGGUUCAAUAGUGAAAGACGGUUUUGCUGUCACUUAUAGAUGGAUCCGCGCCGCAUUAGCUAGUUGGUAAGGUAACGGCUUACCAAGGCGACGAUGCGUAGCCGACCUGAGAGGGUGAUCGGCCACACUGGAACUGAGACACGGUCCAGACUCCUACGGGAGGCAGCAGUAGGGAAUCUUCCGCAAUGGGCGAAAGCCUGACGGAGCAACGCCGCGUGAGUGAUGAAGGUCUUCGGAUCGUAAAACUCUGUUAUUAGGGAAGAACAAAUGUGUAAGUAACUAUGCACGUCUUGACGGUACCUAAUCAGGAAGCCACGGCUAACUACGUG